UAUGUUCACGUCGCAGAGAGAGAUGGCGUUGGAAGUUUCGAUCAAAUCUGAAAUACGUAUAAUUUGAAUUGCUUAUUGUGAAAUCAGAGUGGCGCGUAGUAUGAAAGGGGUAGAUCGAAAAGAGAGGUUAGAUCGCCCACGUUUGCACGGCGGAUCAUAAUCCUGCGAGCGCGAGAUUUUCGCGAGUGAAACUCUGAGUGGUCAUCUGGAGAUGACGCGCUAGCGGUCACGUCCGUCAACAUGCUCUCACGUAUCGUUCGGAAUCACGUCCUCGCGUCGAACGUCACCGUGUUGUUGAGACUGCCGCUACGCGAGGUCGAGAGCCGGCCGUUAAGUCGCAUUAUUCACAUCAGCAGUCAGCAACGCACGAAGAACAAGGAGGAUGACAAGGAUAGCAAGACGUCCCUCGUGCUCCACGCGUUUGAGAACGUCGGAAAAAAGGAGAAGCAAGCCUAUUUGGACAUCAUACGCGAGUACAAGAGCAAAAACGAAAAGCGACACGGCCACGUGGAGUUCAUACAGGUCGCCCUCAAGUACAUGGACGAAUUUGGCGUGAAUCGCGAUCUGGCGGUGUACAAGUCGCUUGUGGACGUGCUGCCCAAGGGCAAGUUCAUCCCUCGCAAUUUCUACCAGACAAUGUUCAUGCACUACCCUAAGCAACAGUAUGUGACAGUCGACCUACUCUGCAAGAUGGAGCAUAACUGUGUGUUACCAGACUUGGAGAUGCAGGAGAUACUGCUCAACAUCUUUGGGAAGCAUGGCCUGCCAUUGAAGAAGUUCUGGAGAAUGAUGUACUGGAUGCCCAAGUUUGCCAACCUGAACCCCUGGCCAUGUCCCAGACCAGCGCCCCGCGAUCCACGAGAACUCGCCAGGCUGGCGAUGAGCAAGAUCUCCAGCGUUGAUGUACAAACCAGUAUCACAGACUUUGAUACUAAAGAUGUGGAGGAUGCCAUUGAGAAUACAUGGAUUGUAUCGGCAAUGAGCAGUUUGCAGGAGGAGCUGUUGAGAACACAGUGUCCCAAUACUCCAAUCUUUGUCGAAGGACCGUAUACUGUUUGGGUAGCAGAUCAAUGUAUAGAUUACUUUAUCUUAAAGGGAGCGCCCAAAGAAAGUAGUAAUGUUUAUGAAAAUAUUGAUGAUGUUUCUAAUAUUAGAAUACCUUUCUGGGAUAAGAAAGAAAUAAUUCCUGCACCUACAGUUCAUGAGCAAGAUGAUGGCACAUACUUCGCAAUGUGUGCUACCGGGACGUCCACGAAAGACUCACUACUAUCUUGGAUACGAUGUCUGCAAAAGAAGAAUCCCAUCUUGACUGUAAUUCCAGUGAUGUUCAAAUUAAUGUCGUCCACGAGGGAACAAUUAUAUAUCGACUCUAAAAGUGAAAGUGAAAACAAAAUGGUGCAAAUAAAGGAUUAAUAGAAAGGUCAGUGGCCACGAGUCAAGCUUGCUCAUUCGAAGUAAAACUUUAAUAGCAAUUAGAAAUGAAAUUAGAGACCAUGAUAUAACACAAUUAAAUGAGGACGAUCUUAGCAGAAUCUCAGUGCUUAAAAUAACAUUUUCUGGACUUGAAGUUGAGCAUGAAAUUAAACAGCGAUAAAAGAGGCGGCCGUUGGCUCAAUGAUUAUGACUUUCUUAUUUGAGAAAUAUACAGAAUAAGUGGCAGCGAGGGUGAGUCGCUGAAAGGUGAGAUAGAAGUAAACAAGUCAAAUUAAGAACGAAUGGCGAGCAGGACGAUGUGCUUAAUUGCGCGAACGAGCCUUGACUUAAUAAAUUGUCAAUUUUCCUUACAGAUUUAAUGGAAGUAUUACAUUUCUGAUCAAUUAUUUAUUUUAAGGAUUAACAGAACCGUUGUUAGUGCUCCUAAUACACAAAAUAAUCAAUUACUAACUUUACUAUAGUAAGUAACAAUUGAAUCUGGACUGUGUUUUAUACAUAAUACAAUUAAAGACGAGAUGGACUAUAUUCUUUGUGAUUUUACAUACAAUGAAAAUAACGGCACACAGUUCGAAAGAAUCAGGAAUUGUAUGUAAAAUCACAAAGAAUAUAAUUUCAUCCAAGAUCCUGCUAUGAACGUACAUAAGCCUAUCUUUUGACAUUACUAAAUUCAUACUUUCUAUAUAAAAUUUCUGCAAGGAUUGUCAUAUGCCUAUUUGGAUCCAAUCAAGCAAAAAUUUUAUCAAAUAUGUGGGGAAUUUAAUUUAUUUAAGAUCCUUAUCCUGCACCAUUUAAAAUUCGUUUCGCGUUUUCUAACUGAUUAAAUAAUCAAAUUUAAUACAAAUUCCUUGAGUUAAAUAAUAUUUUUUUAUGUUUAACUUUCAUGUAUUUAUGUCGAAACUUAUUAUUUUAACACAAAAGUAGUUAAAGAAUGAAUUAUUUGGAUAUAAUUUGACACUACCAAUUUAAUAAUAAAGCAGAAUGAUGAACGCAACUGUCCGCUUCAUCGUAUAUCAGAAAGA